rnacentral:lncRNA from 1 species
GUGUGGGAGUGGCGAAAGGGGUCCAGAGGCUUGGCUGCCUUCGCGGCCCCCCACCUUGGACUUAACUCAUUUUCGCCCCCAGCCCUUGUCGCCGUACCUUGCAAGUACUGUGGCGAAGGGUGUGGGUGUGGCGAAAGGGGUCCAGAAGCUGGGCUAGCUUCGCGGCCCCCCAGCUUGGACUUAACUCCUUUUCUCCUCCAGCCCUUGUCGCCAUACCUUGCGGGUACUUUGGCGAAGGGCGUGGGAGUGGCGAAAGGAGUCCAGAGGCUAUGGCGGCUUCGAAUCCCCCAAGCCUGGAAGCAACUCAUUUUCGCCCCCAGCCGUUGUCGCCGUACCUUUCGGGUACUGUGGCGAAGGGUGUGGGUGUGGCGAAAGGGGUCUAGAGGCUGGGCUGGCUUUGCGGCCCCCAGCUUGGACUUAACUCAUUUUCGCCCCCAGCCCUUGUCACCGAACCUUGUGGGUGUGGCGAAAGGGGUCCAGAGGCUGCGCUGGCUCCGCGGCCCCCCAACUUGCACUUUACUCUUUUUCGCCCCCAGCCCUUAUCGUCGUACCUUGCGGGUACUGUGGCGAAGGGUGUGGGUGUGGCGAAAGGGGUCCAGAGGCUGGGCUGGCUUCACGGCCCCCAGCUUGGACUUAAAUUCUUUUUGCCCCCAGCCCUUGUCGCCGUACCUUGCGGGUACUUUUGCGGUGGUCGUGGCCCUUUUCGCCAUACCUUGCGGGUACUGUGGCGAAGGGUGUGGGUGUGCGAAAGAGGUCCAGAGGCUGAGCUGGCUUCACGGUCCCCAGCUUGGACUUAACUCCUUUUCGCCCCAAGCCCUUGUCGUCGUACCUUGCAGGUACUGUGGCGAAGGGUGUGGGUGUGGCGAAGCUGGUGCAGAGGCUGGGCUGGCUUCGCGGCACCCAGCUUGGACUAAACUCCUUUUCGCCCCCAGCCCUUGUCGCCGUAUCUUGCGGGUACUGUGGCGAAGGAAGUGGGUGUGGCGAAAGGGGUCCAGAAGCUGGGCUGGCUUCACGGCCCCCAGCUUGGACUUAACUCCUUUUCUCCUCCAGCCCUUGUCGCCGUACCUUGCAGGUACUUUGGCGAAGGGCGUGGGAGGCGGCUUCGAAUCCUCCAAGCCUGGAAGCAACUCAUUUUCGCCCCUAGCCCGUGUCGCCAGGGUCCAGAGGCUGGGCUGGCUUUGUGGCCCCCAGCUUGGACUUAUCUCGUUUUCGGCCCCAGCCCUUGGGUCCAGAGGUUGGGCUGGCUUCACGGCCCCCAGCUUGGACUUAAAUCCUUUUUGCCCCCAGCCCUUGUCGCCGUACCUUGCGGGUACUUUUGCGGUGGAUGUGGGUGUGUCGAAAGGGGUCUAG